CGAUCAUUCACAAGCUUUAAGUCCAGAAUGAAAUACUCAACAAUCGGAACAAAUACCAAUUAAUUCAAUUAAAGGAAGAUUCACAUAAUUAUAAUUAGGCUACAUCUCAAACUCUAGAAGAUAGAAAUUAAUUCAUGCUAAAAUUGAAGGGAAAAAAAAAACUUAAUAAAAAAUUUGAACAUAAUCAUCAAGGAACUGAAAGAGAUUGGAAGAAGGAAAAAAAAACUCAGUAAAUCUAGUCUGAAAUUUUCUUCCAGUAGCUUCCUCCUCUUGAUAGCCAAAAAGAAGAAAAAGAAUCGAUCCCCUUUGCUUUCCAGCCCCCUUGGUUGAAAAAAAUCUUCUUUUUCCCUCCCCAUAACUCUUUAUCCUUGCUCUCUUUCAAGCCAUCUUCACAAGGAAAGAAAAAAUCAAUCCCGAAUUCGCCUCGUCAAUUUGGCAAAUUUUCAGCCUUGGAUUGUGGGCCAUUUUUCUUUUGGAAAACAUGGGAAUUUCAAAAUCUCUAUUUCAGCAGAAAGGUAGCACGUUAAGUUAUCUUUCCAAGCCCUCUUGAAUCAGCUCAAUACGACAUCGGAUGAGGGAGAUAUGGUGAAAAUACUAAAGACAGUGCAACUGUGCUUCCAAUUCGGGAUUUCUUCACAGCCGAGGGUCUUCCACUGAUUUGCUCCCUUCAUUCCAAUUUAUUUUCUUCUAAAUGGGCUGGCUGAAAUCCACUUGAAUUGAGUCCUCUCUUAUGGGCCUUGAGCUUUGUUAUUUUUGGGCUUCAUUUCUACAUUUAAAUUGUAAACACCACAAUUAGCAUUGACCAUCAUUCAACUAUAAAAAAAAUAUCAUUAUUAAUCCCCAAAUAUACUUAUAUAUUAGCAAAUAAUCAUGAGCAUUCAGCAUUAAAAAUGCAAUCUUAUGCACUCUAUCAGAUAGUCAAAGUUCAAUUUAUCUUACAAAGAACCAGGAGAUCCAUGUAAAAACCACAUUGAUGUAAGGCUACAUUUAUACAAGGCAUCAUAGCUCAAGGUGUUGUAAAAU
rnacentral:lncRNA from 1 species